CACAUGCAAGUCGAGCGGAUGAGAGGAGCUUGCUCCUUCGAUUCAGCGGCGGACGGGUGAGUAAUGCCUAGGAAUCUGCCUGGUAGUGGGGGACAACGUUUCGAAAGGAACGCUAAUACCGCAUACGUCCUACGGGAGAAAGCAGGGGACCUUCGGGCCUUGCGCUAUCAGAUGAGCCUAGGUCGGAUUAGCUAGUUGGUGAGGUAAUGGCUCACCAAGGCGACGAUCCGUAACUGGUCUGAGAGGAUGAUCAGUCACACUGGAACUGAGACACGGUCCAGACUCCUACGGGAGGCAGCAGUGGGGAAUAUUGGACAAUGGGCGAAAGCCUGAUCCAGCCAUGCCGCGUGUGUGAAGAAGGUCUUCGGAUUGUAAAGCACUUUAAGUUGGGAGGAAGGGCAUUUACCUAAUACGUAAGUGUUUUGACGUUACCGACAGAAUAAGCACCGGCUAACUCUGUGCCAGCAGCCGCGGUAAUACAGAGGGUGCAAGCGUUAAUCGGAAUUACUGGGCGUAAAGCGCGCGUAGGUGGUUCGUUAAGUUGGAUGUGAAAUCCCCGGGCUCAACCCUGGGAACUGCAUCCAAAACCUGGCGAGCUAGAGUAGGGUAGAGGGUGGUGAUUGCC
rnacentral:rRNA from 2 species